UACGUAGGGUGCAGGCGUUAAUCGGAAUUACUGGGCGUAAAGCGUGCGCAGGCGGUUUCUUAAGUCAGAUGUGAAAGCCCCGGGCUUAACCUGGGAACUGCGUUUGAAACUGGGAGACUUGAGUGUGGCAGAGGGGGAUGGAAUUCCGCGUGUAGCAGUGAAAUGCGUAGAUAUGCGGAGGAACACCGAUGGCGAAGGCAAUCCCCUGGGCCUGCACUGACGCUCAUGCACGAAAGCGUGGGGAGCAAACAGG
rnacentral:rRNA from 1 species